rnacentral:tRNA from 1 species
UCCAGUGUAGCUCAGUUGUAGAGCACUUGCCUAGCAUGCACAAGGCCCUGGGCUUAAUAUCCAGCACUGGCA